rnacentral:lncRNA from 1 species
UCCAAGUUAUGAUCUGCAUAGUGAUAAGGUAUCGAAUAACUAUUUAUGCUGAAAAUAAAGUACGAAAAUAAAAUAAAGCCAAAAAUAAACUUAAAUAUUAAAACACACUAAAAUAGUAAAAAUAAUAGAAUAAAUUAUAGAGUUGCCUAAGUACAAUAGUAGAAGAAGGUGCAUCAAAAUGCACUGAUCAAAUUCCCCCAUACUUGAACUUUUCCACUCUGAGCAAAAUUAUAAAUUCAAAACUUAAAACAGAAAGAAAAAAACCUGAACAAAC